GCGGGCCAUCCUGAGCGAGCCUGAUCCAGCAAUGCCGCGUGAGUGAUGAAGGCCUUAGGGUUGUAAAGCUCUUUUACCCGGGAAGAUAAUGACUGUACCGGGAGAAUAAGCCCCGGCUAACUCCGUGCCAGCAGCCGCGGUAAUCA
rnacentral:rRNA from 1 species